AUAAUAGCAUCUGUAUAUUACAAAAUUUGAUAGGCCCCUGCAAUUUGACAGCAUAUUAGCAAUAUAUCAGAAAACUUGGCUGACCCAUGGUUUCUGCGACUCAAGAACAUGAAGAAUGAGUGAUUUCUGUUGCUCGAGAACAUGGCGAUUGAGGACCAGAUCGAGGGGAAGUAGGAAAAGAGGGGAGAUGAAUCGAUUAAUUACCUGAUGGUCAAGUCUACGCCACCUGUGGCCUGGUUGGUGUCGCUCGACCGGCCGGCUCCAAAUCCCUCCAUCUCCUGCGCCCGUCCACCGUCGCCCCGCUCUGGCGAGCUCCUGCCUAGGACGCCACACCUCCCCUCCUUUCUCCCUUCUUCUCUCCCUCACCUCCAUUCUUCUUUCCGCCCAGGAGCCGCAGAUGUCAUGGAUCCGCCCGGGAGGCCACGCCCCAGCCUUCCUCAUCGUCACUGGCGACCCCGGCGUCGCCGCCCGCCUCCGAAUCAGCCUCCCCAGCCCCUGCCGUGCACGGAUCUGGCCCGUGCAAGCAGCCACCGCCGUCGUUCCGCCGCC
rnacentral:lncRNA from 1 species